rnacentral:rRNA from 1 species
CCCUUAGAUGUUCUGGGCUGCACGCGCGCGACAAUGACGUUUGCAACGAGAUUGCGAGGCCGUCAGGUCGAGCUGAUCUUGCAAGCUGCGUCGUGAUAGGGACAGUCGAUUGCAAUUAUUCGACUCGAACGAGGAAUUCCUUGUAAUCGCGCAUCAUCAGUGCGCGCUGAAUACGUCCCUGCCCUUUGUACACACCGCCCGUCGCUCCUACCGAUUUCGAGUGGUCCGGUGAACCUUUCGGACCGGGAGCAGCCUCGUGCUGCGCCUGGAAAGUCAAGUAAACCACAUCACUUAGAGGAAGGAGAAGUCGUAACA